UACGGAGGGUGCAAGCGUUAUCCGGAUUCACUGGGUUUAAAGGGUGCGUAGGCGGUCAUGUAAGUCAGUGGUGAAAUCUCCGUGCUUAACACGGAAACUGCCAUUGAUACUAUGUUUCUUGAAUUUUCCGGAGGUCAGCGGAAUAUGUCAUGUAGCGGUGAAAUGCUUAGAUAUGACAUAGAACACCAAUUGCGAAGGCAGCUGACUGCAGGGACAUUGACACUGAGGCACGAAAGCGUGGGGAGCAAACAGG
rnacentral:rRNA from 1 species